rnacentral:rRNA from 1 species
UAACCUUUAAAUAGGGGCGUCUGCUUUUUGCAGGCCGAACCUUCUUAGAGGGACUAUCGAUUUCAAGUCGAUGGAAGUUUGAGGCAAUAACAGGUCUGUGAUGCCCUUAGACGUUCUGGGCCGCACGCGCGCUACACUGACGGAGCCAGCGAGUAUUUAUUGUCCUUGGCCGAGAGGUCUGGGUAAUCUUGUGAAACUCCGUCGUGCUGGGGAUAGAGCAUUGCAAUUAUUGCUCUUCAACGAGGAAUUCCUAGUAAGCGCAAGUCAUCAGCUUGCGUUGAUUACGUCCCUGCCCUUUGUACACACCGCCCGUCGCU